CAAAAGAGAUGCUGAUGGCCCGCCAGGACUGGGGCAAGACAACUUUUUUUUCGGUUUCCUUUGCGGUCAUCAAACUUUUUAGGGGAUGGGGGCAGGGAUGGGAAGCGGCUGGGAGGAAAGGGAGUGGCUGGACUUGUGUGAAGCGAAGGGGUUGCAAGACGCUCCCCCUUCCCUUUUCUUUUUUAUUGGGGGUGGUGGUGGUGUUUGAGGACAUUGCAUCACCUCUGGUCGGGCUGAGGGGGGGGAGUCUCUGCUUAUAGGAGUGUAUUUUGUGGGGAAGAAACCCCAUAAAAUAUCCACCACCUUGCAGCUGUAAGAAUCCAGACUUUUCAGUCCCAGGGCGGGGCUGCCUUUCCCCCCACCCUGCUCGCUUUCUUUGGACUAGAGGGCACUGACUCCGGACUCCCUUAUUUUGUCUUCACAGCUCCCUGUUCGGACUUCCCUUCUCAGCUCUGCGCCUGUCUGACUCUGAGAAAGGGCCAGGGGACGAACGGGGAGCGAAGGGGAAAAGAGACCUUGAAUGAGCUUCUACUAAGUACCGGGAGUUCCACGGGGCGCUUUGCAGAUCCCGGGGAAGUUCAGAGAAUGAAGUUUUCCUUUGCAAGGACAAAGUAACAGUUUGCUUUUUCACAAACGCAGGAAAGCCUUUCUUUCCUGGGGAUGGGACGCCCGUUUCCACUGAAAGUGAAAUCACUGUGAACAACCUGAAAAUUGGAAAGUUGGACCAGCUGUGGGGAGCGAAAGGUCUUCGUGUCCUUUCCCACGUUCACCGUGCCAGUGACACACAAAGCAGAGAUUUUUUUGCUCGAAUCAUUAAAAGCCGGGAAUAUUCUUUUCUCAUUAGAGUGAUGUAACUCCCAACGGGCAUGGCAAAGGCGUUUAACUUAUCCAGUAAAAUGGGAACUGACUACUAUGUAGCUGGAACAUGGAACCAAAACUGUCUUGGAGGACAUUUCAUCUUUCCAAGCAAGGCAGCAGCUUCUUGGAAAAAUUUUAAUUUUGUGUGUUAUUUCAUGUUGCUGGCAUUAAAGAGUUUUUGUUGU